CAGUUGGUUUGUUAUCAUCUCCAUUCUUUGGUGUAUUUAGAUUUGUUAGCACCCUUUAAAUCUACCAUUCAGUUCAAAAAUAAAUGGGGCUACUGGGAUAGUUCAUUAUUGCUAUUAACUCUUCUUCUCUCCUGUCGUCACAAAUUGAAUUGUGUGGUUCUGGUUUUGAUAGUGAUAGAUACAAAUUUACUUGUGUAUCUCAGUGGAUACUUCAAAGACGGAGGAGAUGUGCAGUGUAUAAUUGGGUGCCCAAUUUGAUUGAUGUGAAGGCAUCUCUGUUUUUUUUUUUAAUCAUCAACUACUACUGUUUCAUUAAUAAGGAAAAC
rnacentral:misc_RNA from 1 species